rnacentral:misc_RNA from 1 species
AUCUUUAAUAUCUUAAAAAAAAAAUAUAAAUUUAUAGAUUGAAAAUUUUUGAAUAAAGUAUAAAUAUUCUAAUGAUCCUUCCGCAGGUUCACCUACGGAAA